CCUACGGGAGGCAGCAGUGAGGAAUAUUGGUCAAUGGGCGCAAGCCUGAACCAGCCAUCCCGCGUGAAGGAAGAAGGCGCUAUGCGUUGUAAACUUCUUUUCCAGGGGAAUAAAAUUUUGUACGUGUACGGAAUUGAAGGUACCCUGGGAAUAAGCAUCGGCUAACUCCGUGCCAGCAGCCGCGGUAAUACGGAGGAUGCGAGCGUUAUCCGGAUUUAUUGGGUUUAAAGGGUGCGUAGGCGGACUAAUAAGUCAGUGGUGAAAACCUGCAGCUUAACUGUAGAACUGCCAUUGAUACUGUUGGUCUUGAGUGUGGUCAAGGUAGGCGGAAUGUGUAAUGUAGCGGUGAAAUGCUUAGAUAUUACACAGAACACCGAUUGCGAAGGCAGCUUGCUGGGCCAUUACUGACGCUGAUGCACGAAAGCGUGGGGAUCGAACAGGAUUAGAUACCCUGGUAGUCCACGCCGUAAACGAUGAUCACUCGCUGUUGGCGAUACACAGUCAGCGGCUAAGCAAAAA
rnacentral:rRNA from 1 species